UCCCCCUUUCGUUUGAUCUCUCAUGCUUUGAAGGUAUUCUACACCAGAAGCUAGGAUAAAAUCUUCUUGAUCUAGGGUUCGACACAGAACUUCGUGUGAAUAUGGGCGUCAGUAUUCUCAUUGGUUCCGGCAUUAUUGCCUAGCGUCACGCUCCGUUGAUUGCUGCGAGAAAGGUGUUCGUGAUCGUUGCAUUGUUCAACAACCCAAACCUCUGAAUCAGGAUCUGGGUGUUCUUCUCUUGGAGUUGGUGCAUUCUCUGAAAAUGGACCUUUUAGAACAAAUGGGAAAGUUCGAUUCCUUGAUUGAAUGUGCGUUUUCUCUGUGGCGAAAGGUUUUCAUUUGUUUUGGUUAUUAGAUUUAUUUAGGAGAAGGGUAUUAUGCAGAGAGAACUUCGAAGCAAACUGUUGAGAUUUUGUAGUGAAGAGGGAAGUCCUUGGAUGCGGAGGUUGAUUCCCUUGAGGCUAAUAUCAAGGACCUUGAAGCAGAGGCUUCGUUUUUCAAUGCCACAGCUUCUCAAGUAGCGGAAGAAACCUAUAUGUACACUGUUUCUGAACUAUCAGAGAGGGAAAAACAUGUAGAAUCCAUUUAUCCUAGUGAAAAGAUUCCUGUUGGUUCUAAAGAAAAACCACCUCAAUCAACUAUGACAUAAAAAACUGAGGUCCUAGAUCUGUUCUUUCGUGUGCCAAAGGUGGAAGGCCUUUGUCUAAGCAAGGCUUCACUUGUUGCGUUGCCAUAGGAGAUUAAGGACUUUUGUUCUUUCCAGGGUUAUCCUCCCCCCUCUCUUUUAGAUGUUUUUGGUUAAAUUAAGGACUUAUUUGUUCUUUUCAGGGUUAUCCUCCCCUUUCUUUUAGAUGUUUUUGGUUAAUCUUUUGGUUUCUGAACUUUGAUCAUUUAGCUUUGGUUGCUUAAAUAAAUGUAAUAUGUAUCGGCUAAUAUGAUAGUCCUUCAGCAUAUUUUAAAAUUUUGGAUUUUUUCCUUGUAAUAUGUAUCGGCUAAUAUGAUGGCGUUGGGGUUGUGGUUUUUGUCCUGC